UAGAAGAAGUAAUGUUUUUGGGAAUAUGCAUAAAGAUUUAUAUCUAUGAAUUUUGCAAUGUAUGAUGAAUUUUCUAUAUCUAAUUAUCCGAGGGUAGAUGCUAAACGUACAAUUGCAGCGUUGCACUGUGAAAAUUUCGAUAUUCUUUAUCAUUGAUGAGGCAAAAAAAACUUCUUUGCACUGAACUGAUGGAUGAUAUUAUGAUCUAUAUACGCCGAGAGCUUAACCAUGAUGAUGAUCAUUCCAUAUAUCAAAUAAAUUAGAGGCCUUAAAAUGGGACAUGUCCAAUGAAAGGGUGGUUCAUGUCACUACAUUAAACUGAACACUCUUGUAGGCUUGAUUACUUAAACACGUAUAUAUCUCCUUUUCGUUUAGAAACUUAAGGAUGUGAACAUGUAUUUUUUAUUUGAACUUGCUUUCAACUUAUGCUAAUAUUUAUUUUAUUCACCAUGUGUAGAUAGCUUUAGUGUAUUACAGUACUACUCUUAUAGAAGAACAAAUAUGGGAUAAAUGCUUUCAACCUAUGCUUUAGUGUACAUGUUGUGAACAGGAUUUUCAAGUGGAUCAAGUGAUCUGCAUAUUUCAAUUGAUGUCCAAAUCAAGAAGAGAUCUAAGUUCCUUGAUCUCUAUUAAUAAUAUAUGUUCUGGCUAAGGGACCUCAUGAGAUUAACAAAACAAGUAUGAUUGGCCGGAAUUCCUAAGAGCUUCUUCUUCAGCUUAGUGUUCCAGUAAUUCUUGAUAUCGUUAUCGGUCCUCCCUGCAAACAGUGUGCAGAUGAUCCUGUCUUCAUCCUCAGAGAAGUCUCCAUGCUUGAUGUUUGGUCUUAGAUAGUUGAGCCAUCUCAGCCUGCAGCUCUUCCCGCAUCUCUUUAGCCCUGCAGAAAAUGAUACCAUUACUCAACUCGACAAGAAAAGCCUACGUUGAACAUAGAAUCAGGCGUAUAAUUCUCGUAUGUAUACCAGCUUUUUGCGGGAGUGCGAUCCAAUUACCCCCAGUGCCGUUUUUCUCUAUGAACUCCUUGAGCUUGGUGUCCUCUUCAGGGGACCAAGGCCCUUUCUUCACCUUUGACUUGUCGCAGCACGGAGCCCUUCCCAUCUCUCUCGCUCUCUCUCCCUCCCUCCUUCAGAUGCACCUGCAAACUCUUGGCAGCUUGCUCUAUUUAUGUAACAAACGCAAAGUUCAAAAGGCAAUUGAAAGGGAUUGUUGCCAAAUGGGGCCCUCUGCAAGCUCAUCAAGGCUAAUGAGUCAUGAGAUUCCCUGAGCGGGGAGCUAUCUGAGGACUACCUCAUCUCCCAAAGCUUGGCAUGCAUGUGAGGGAGGGCGAUUGGUAUUUUAUUUGGUUCUGUCUCCGGACAUACAAAUGGAAGAAAACUUUUUACGGUACGGCUUUGUCUAAAUGAGGAUGUGGGCAGGAGUUAAAAAAGAUAUUUACCGUCUCCACAAAGUCGGUGAAAAUUCUAAGGACUAGAGUUGUGAGCGGCACAGGAAGUUAUCGGCAAUGAUACGCAUGAUGUAGGGCUAAAAACGAUUGAGGGCUUGGUAAAAUUGAAGUUUGUAUGUAACCAAAGAGAAAUGUGGGGUUUGUUAUGCGCUGCGAUUUUCAAUUU